rnacentral:rRNA from 1 species
UACAGGGGGUGCAAACGUUGCUCGGAAUCAUUGGGCGUAAAGCGCACGUAGGCGGUUCGUUAUGUCGGAUGUGAAAGCCCUUGGCUUAACCGAGGAAGUGCAUCCGAAAACUGGCGAGCUAGAGUACGAAAAGAGGAUCGCGGAAUUCCCGGUGUAGAGGUGAAAUUCGUAGAUAUCGGGGAGGAACACCGGUGGCGAAGGCGGCAUCCUGGACCAACACUGACACUGAGGAGCGAAAGCCAGGGGGAGCAAACGGGG